UACAGAGGUCCCAAGCGUUUGUUCGGAUUCAUUGGGCGUAAAGGGCGCGCAGGCGGCUGCUCAAGUCAGGCGUGAAAAGGCCUGGGCUCAACCCGGGGAAUUUGCGCUUGAGACUGGGGCUGGCUUGAGUGCGGGAGAGGAUGGUGGGAAUUCCCAGUGUAGAGGUGAAAUUCGUAGAUAUUGGGAAGAACACCGGUGGCGAAGGCGGCCAUCUGGACCGCAACUGACGCUGAGGCGCGAAAGCGUGGGGAGCGAACAGG
rnacentral:rRNA from 1 species